CCAAGAACACAGCAUCAAAGAACAGGACAAACAAGCAAGUGGUUACAACAGAAAAGUGAGAGGCAUUCACCUGAACUUAGGGGACAGAGUGCUCAUUGCAAACAAAGGUGAGAGAGGAAAGAAGAAACUGGCUGACAAAUGGAGUGCAAUUGUGUACACAGUUAAAGACAGAAACCUGCAGACACACACAUACAAGCUGGUGGACAGUAGUGGAAACACUAAGAUAGUUCAUCGAAACCUGGUCUUAGACAUCAGCUUUUUGCCUGUGGUGACAACUGGAGAAGAAUUGUGUGAUACUGAAGUGGAGGAAAGGUCGUAUACGACUGAUUCCCUGGACUCUUUGGAGGAGGAGGAGGAUUCAAGAGGCAGGACCAGUACGUGGAUAAUGAGUGGAUCAGAGGAAACCCGGAGUCAAAUGAUUAUGAGUGAACGAUCGUCUGAGGUGGAUCAGUCAAGUCAGGGCAUUCCAGAAGUGGACUGGUCUGCAGAUGGUCCAAUUCAGUGCUUCCCAAAUGACCAGAACCGGUCCAGCAGAGACACUAACUUCGACAGUUUAGUUGCAGGGGCUGACUCAGACUCAUCAUUCAUGUCACAUGUACAUUCAGGACACCUAAACACUCAGUCACAUCCUGCAGACACAGGUCAUGUCACAGUUACACAGGUACAAUCGACAGUAGAAACUGAACCUGUAGUCAGGACAAGGGCAGGCAGGGUUAGCAAAAGAAUCAAUCGACUCAUUGAGUCCAUGGUCCAAAAGCCUUUUGAUUUAAGGGGUUUUGUGAGUUCAGUUAACAAGAGAUCUCAGUCACUACUUACACUGUUUUAAAGUGACAAGCUUGUAGUUUUUUGUUUUUGUUUGUACCUCUGAUCUGGUAAAUAUGCCUUUUUAAGGGACAAUGUCUAAUGUAUGUGUUUUGUGUAAUAUGUUACAUGUUUGAGAGUAGCAGGGAGUUGUAUGGUGUACAAGGCAUCAUAUUAAUCUAGGAGGGACUAAGGCUUGAUCUCCCUUAUGUUUUCUCUGAACCUAUAUAGUAGGUGGCUUUUACAGCCGAUGGUAAAGCUAAGAGUUUUUCAGUUAACCCUGCACAAGUUUGAUGUCAGUUGUCUUGGAGGUCAGAAUGGUUUAUUCAGAGGUACACUAUGGUCUGGAUUUUUGCGAAAUAUAGGAGGGGUGUAUGUAACCAAUGUAUAACUUCACUUGUUUAUAUUUCAGUAAAAUCAUUGUCCAUACUUUAUUUGUAAAACUUGUCACUGUCACUUUAUUUUUUAGAUGCUUUUAUUUUGAAAAGUACGUUUUAUUUUGGUACUCAUGGCACCGGCACAUUUCUGCAGACUCGCGCUACUUUCCUCAGUUAGCUUCAGGCCCCACUGAGGAGAAGUGUGAAGUUAGAAAGCUGAUGAAGCCAUUUCCUGCUUUAAUUAUUAUAUUCUGUUUUGCACAGGUAUGUGGGUAUUCUUUUUGUAUUUUGUAACUGUAAAUUGUAUUGUUUGUUAUGUAAGUGUAAAUUAAUGGUUAUAUUUGUGUAUAUUGGUUUACAAGGAAAAACUGGUUUGCCACCAUGGAUAGAUGUAUAUCUGUUAAUUGUAUUAUUUAGAACUCUGUAUACUUUCCUGAGUUAGCUUCAGGCCCCACUGAGGAGAAGUGUGAAGUUAGAAAGCUGAUGAAGCCAUUUCCUGCUUUAAUUAUUAUAUUCUGUUUUGCACAGAGAAUAAAUCCUGGUUGGCAAGAAA